CAAGUCGAACGCGAAAGGGGACUUCGGUCCGUGAGUAAAGUAGGCGCACGGGUGAGUAACGCGUAGAUAACCUGUCUUCAUGUCUGGAAUAAUACGCCGAAAGGGGUACUAAUACCGGAUAUUCUUGCUUUUCAUAAGUUAUGCAAGCAAAGGUGGCCUCUGCAUAUGCUACUGCAUGAAGAGGGGUCUGCGUACCAUUAGCUAGUAGGUGGGGUAAUGGCCUACCUAGGCGACGAUGGUUAGCGGGUCUGAGAGGAUGAUCCGCCACACUGGCACUGGAACACGGGCCAGACUCCUACGGGAGGCAGCAGUGAGGAAUAUUGCGCAAUGGGGGAAACCCUGACGCAGCGACGCCGCGUGAAGUGGGGAAGGCCUUCGGGUCGUAAAGCUCUGUCAAGAGGAAAGAAGUGUACAAUGGCUAAUACCUGUUGUAUUUGACGGUACCUCUAAAGGAAGCACCGGCUAACUCCGUGCCAGCCGCCGC
rnacentral:rRNA from 1 species